GAUGAACGCUGGCGGCGUGCCUAAUACAUGCAAGUCGAGCGAACGGACGAGAAGCUUGCUUUUCUGAUGUUAGCGGCGGACGGGUGAGUAACACGUGGAUAACCUACCUAUAAGACUGGGAUAACUUCGGGAAACCGGAGCUAAUACCGGAUAAUAUUUUGAACCGCAUGGUUCAAACGUGAAAGACGGUCUUGCUGUCACUUAUAGAUGGAUCCGCGCUGCAUUAGCUAGUUGGUAAGGUAACGGCUUACCAAGGCAACGAUGCAGAGCCGACCUGAGAGGGUGAUCCGCCACACUGGAACUGAGACACGGUCCCGACUCCUACGGGAGGCAGCAGUAGGGAAUCUUCCGCAAUGGGCGAAAGCCUGACGGAGCAACGCCGCGUGAGUGAUGAAGGUCUUCGGAUCGUAAAACUCUGUUAUUAGGGAAGAACAUAUGUGUAAGUAACUGUGCACAUCUUGACGGUACCUAAUCAGAAAGCCACGGCUAACUACGUG
rnacentral:rRNA from 1 species